UACGUAGGGUGCGAGCGUUAAUCGGAAUUACUGGGCGUAAAGAGCGCGCAGGCGGUCGUCCAAGUCGCGUGUGAAAGCCCCCGGCUCAACUGGGGAGGGUCACGCGAUACUGGUCGACUCGAAGGCAGGAGAGGGUAGUGGAAUUCCCGGUGUAGUGGUGAAAUGCGUAGAUAUCUGGAGGAACACCGGUGGCGAAGGCGGCAUCCUGGACCGGCAUUGACGCUGAACAGCGAAAGCCAGGGGAGCAAACGGG
rnacentral:rRNA from 1 species